rnacentral:rRNA from 1 species
GAUGAACGCUGGCGGCGUGCCUAAUACAUGCAAGUCGAGCGAACAGAUAAGGAGCUUGCUCCUUUGACGUUAGCGGCGGACGGGUGAGUAACACGUGGGUAACCUACCUAUAAGACUGGGAUAACUUCGGGAAACCGGAGCUAAUACCGGAUAACAUUUGGAACCGCAUGGUUCUAAAGUGAAAGAUGGUUUUGCUAUCACUUAUAGAUGGACCCGCGCCGUAUUAGCUAGUUGGUAAGGUAACGGCUUACCAAGGCGACGAUACGUAGCCGACCUGAGAGGGUGAUCGGCCACACGGGAACUGAGACACGGUCCAGACUCCUACGGGAGGAAGCAGUAGGGAAUCUUCCGCAAUGGGCGAAAGCCUGACGGAGCAAAGCCGCGUGAGUGAUGAAGGGUUUCGGAUCGUAAAACUCUGUUAUUAGGGAAGAACAAACGUGUAAGUAACUGUGCACGUCUUGACGGUACCUAAUCAGAAAGCCACGGCUAACUACGUG